rnacentral:misc_RNA from 1 species
AACGCACAUUGCGCCCUCUGGCAUUCCGGAGGGCAUACCUGUUCGAGCGUCAUUAUCAACCCUCAAGCCCCGGCUUGGUGUUGGAGGCCCGGCCGGUCCACGUCGACCGGCCGCUCCCAAAGAUAACGACGGCGCCCGGAGGCCCCCGGUACAGUGAGCUUUUUUCUAAAAGCAUGUAUUGGCGGCGCCCCCGGGCGUGCCGGUCACCUCUUUUUUUUUCUGUGGUUGACCUCGGAUCAGGUAGGGAUACCCGCUGAACUUAA